rnacentral:misc_RNA from 1 species
CGGUAGUGGCGGCGAGGGGAG